GUUAGGUUGAUGGAUGCUGGGAAAGGUUAUAUCUUAUUGGUGGAUGCUGGGGAAGGGUGAAUCUUAUUGGUGGAUGCUGGGAAAGGUUAAAUCAUAUUGGUGGAUGUUGGGAAAGGUUAAAUCUUAUUGGUGGAUGCUGGGAAAUGUCAUAUAUCUUGUUGGUGGUUGCUGGGAGAAGUUAAAAUCAUAUUGGUGGAUGCUGGGAAAGGUUAAAUCUUAUUGGUGGAUGCUGGGAAAGGUUAAAUCUCAGUGGUGGAUGCUGGAAAAGGUCAUAUAUCUUGUUGGUGGAUGCUGGGAGAAGUUAAAUCUUAUUGGUGGAUGUUGGGAAAGGUUGAAUCAUAUUGCUGGAUGCUGGGAAAGGUUAGGUCAUGUUGGAUGCUGGGAAAGGUUAAAUCUCAUUGUUGGAUGCUGGAAAAGGUUAAAUCUCAUUGGUGGAUGCUGGGAAAGGUCAUAUCUUGUUGGUGAAUGCAAGGAGAGGUCAUAUAUCUUGUUAGUGGACGCUGGAAAAGGUUAAGUUAUGUUGAUGGCUGCUAGGCGAGGUCAAAUCUUGUUAGUGUUUACUGGAGAGUGUAGAUAGGACUUUUUUUGCAAACGUAAGAUAAACAAACUAUUCUAAUACACACCAUAUCCUUUUUUUCCCUUUCCCCAACCAUCUCCUCUCACCACCACCACCACCACCACCAUACUAGCAUUCCACCCUACCCUUCCUCAACCACCACCACCACCACCACCACCUACCUAUCCUUACCUCUUUCACCCCCACCACAGAAGUGUAUCAAAAUGAAGUGAAGAGUGAAUGCAAAUGAAGUGGACAUUCUCAUUGUAUUACGACCACUUCUAUUCCGUGUACCGUAACUUAUAAGUGAAUAAGGUCUUGUUUCCGAUGAUAACUAACGCACAUACACGCGUACAUACACUCCCUUCUCCCCGCCGUCAGUUACUUAAUUUACGCGCAGGUUUUGACGCACCGCCGAUUCGCACCGACUGACAGACACGCGCGCUAGUGGUAGAAAUUACGUACGUAGGUAGUCGUAAGUAUGUCGGCUUUCGUAGUGAACGCUCGCCCUCAAGUUGUUAUUAUUUCUGUUAUCAUUACUACAGCUAUUAUUAUUAUUGUUGUUGGGUAUUAGCCGGGGGUGUUUGCUAUUGGUUGCAUGCCGUUCCUAUUAUGACUCAUGGUGGAAAAGAACAACAAGAAAGUGACUCUGGGAAUUGAAAUGAUAUGCGGAAAUUAAAUGUCUUUAUUUAUUUUCUAUUAUUAUUAUUAUUUAUUUUUUAAGAAUAAGACAAUGAUAGUAGUUUUUUUCCUUUUUUUCUUCUCAUGUUUUGUUUCGUUUUCUUUUUCUUAUUUCAUGUGUAAUUAUGGAUAGACUUAUUGAUGAUACAUGCUUUUUUUUUUCUUUUCUUUUUUUUCUCGUGUAAUAUUAUGAUGCACUUACUCCCUAUGUGGACAACUAUUAUAUCCAGCUGGGUAUUUCUUUACUCUUUUUUUCUUCUUUCUUUUACCUGUAUACCUGUAAACUGAUAUGCUCUGUCAGGUAUUUCUUCAAGCACUGAGUUUUCAUCAUUUCAAUUUUUUUUUUACCUAUAUAGCCUUGAAUUAAUGUCCUCAGUAAGGCAUUUCUAAGCAUUGUCUGUUUAUCAUUUCAGAACUCAUUACCAGAUUUUAUUGUUUUCGUCAAUUUUAUAACUUUUACGUCUUGGUUCGGCAAUUCUCCAAAGUGGCUUUUUUUGUGUGUGUGUAAUGUGAGUACUAAUAGGGACGGUGUGUGUACUAAUUGGUGAAACAUUUCCCUGAUCAUCCCCCACUACCUCCCACCUCCUGCACUCCUCCCUCCUCCUCACCCUUCAUCUCAUAAUUCCUUUCAGUCAUUCAUCAUUUUUUUUUUUCUUUUUCUUUUUACUAUUUUUUCAUCUCCCAUUCUGUCACUUUUCUGCUGUUGCUCAUCCUUUUCCUUCUCGCUCCUUCUCCCUCCUCCUCCUCCUCCUCCUCCAAUCCUCUUAUGCAUAUGUGUGUUUGAAAACCGAAAAAUGUGCUCCGUUAAGAAGACUGAAAGCAUUGGCACACCUCCCCUUCCUCCCCUGUGCGCUCUCUCUCAUUCUCUCUCUCUCUCUCUCUCUCUCUCUCUCUCUCUCUCUCUCUCUCUCUCUCUCUCUCUCUCUCUCUCUCUCUCUCUCUCUCUCUCUCUCUCUCUCUCUCUCUCUCUCUCUCUCUCUCUCUCUCUCUCUCUCUCUCUCUCUCUCUCUCUCUCUCUCUCUCUCUCUCUCUCUCAUAUGCAUUGUGAUGAUGUAAUACAGUUAAUGUUUUUUUUGUAUAAACACAUUAUUUUUAUGAUUAGAGAGAGAGAGAGAGAGAGAGAGAGAGAGAGAGAGAGAGAACACUGAAAAUUGGAGACAUUCACUAUAGACACCCCUUGAAAAAUAGCGAAUAUAAGGAGAUGGAACAUAGGAAAAAUAAAAAGAUAGAUAGAUAGUGAAAGAAAGAUAGGGAGAUAGACACAAAUAGAUAGGGUAUGAAAGAGAUGAAUAGCAUGCAGGAAGGAAGGAAAGGAAAGGAAAAAAAAAUAGAAGGAAAAGAUGGAGGUAAGGAAAGGCAGUGGAAAAGCAAAUUAUCAUACAUUGCAAGAAGGGAAAAUGGAUGAAAAUAAAUGUACAGGGAAAUAAGUGACUGCUGUGAUGGUUGGGUUGGUUAGUAUUUAUUUAAUGUGAGUGGUUAGGCCUGAAGGGAGAUUAUGUUGAGGCUGAGAUGGCUUGUUAAUGGGGGAAGAGAGAGAGAGAGAGAGAGAGAGAGAGAGAGAGAGAGAGUUUAUAGUGGUGUGAAAAUUGAAGAGAUUAGGGAGAUUAUAAUGAAACACACAAAUGCACACACUAACCCACGUGUUUCCUUCCUUCCUUCCUUCCUGCCUUCCUUCCUUCCUUCCUUUCUAUAUAGGGGGAUGGGCCUCAGAAAGUAGAACAAACAGAGAAAACCGUGGAGAUUCUGCCCGCCAAUAAAACGAAUGAAGUCUUAGUAACAGAGAAGGAAGAAAAACUACCCUCACAGGAAACCAUUAAGGUGACAUCUGUGGAGAGUAAGAAUGUCACGGAUAAGGGCGAUGGACCUCAGAAAGUAGAGCGAACAGAGAAAACAAUUCAGAUUCCCUCUUCUCUUCCUUCUUUUCUUCAUUUUACCUUCCCUUCCACUUAUUCCCGUCCUUCUUUUUUCCUUUCAUUCUUUUCAUUCGUUCAUUUGUUCCUUCAUUCUUCAUUCCUUUCCCAUCAUUCCACUUUUCCUUCUUUCAUUCUUUUCAUUUGUUCAUUUGUUCAUUCUUCAUUCCUUUCCCAUCAUUCCACUUUUCCUUCUUUCAUUCUUUUCAUUUGUUCAUUUGUUCAUUCUUCAUUCCUUUCCCAUCAUUCCACUUUUUUCCUUCUUUCAUUCUUUUCAUUCAUUCAUUUGUUCCUUCAGUCUUCAUUUCUCUCCCAUCAUUCCACUUUUUUCCUUCUUUCAUUCAUUCAUUUGUUCCUUCAGUCUUCAUUUCUCUCCCAUCAUUCCACUUUUUUCCUUCUUUCAUUCAUUCAUUUGUUCCUUCAGUCUUCAUUUCUCUCCCAUCAUUCCACUUUUUUCCUUCUUUCAUUCCUUUCAUUUGUUCCUUCAUUCUUCAUCCCUUUCCCAUCAUUCCACCAUCACCCCUUCAUUAACCCCAUCACUUCACCCAUUCAUCUACCCAUAGGAACAAUUAUUAUUAUUAUUUUUGUUUCUUUUAUCGCGUUUUACAGUUUUAUUUUUGUAGCCCCUCCACCCUGCUCGUAGGUUGUGCUUGCGUCUCCCGUUUUCUGUUGGCUUCCACUACACACACCUUUCUGAAUGUUCGUAAUAGUGAUGACAACAGGUAAUUAUUAAUGUUGGUGAGUCUAUGAUGAGUCUCCUUUCUCUUCUCCUUCCUUCUCUGUCUCUCUCUUUCUCUCGUCUUUCUUUUUUUCUUUUCGUUAUUUUUUUUCAUAUUUUCUGUUUUUUUCUUGCAUUUUUUCUUUCGUUUUUAUUUGUUUUCAUUUUUCAUUUUGUCUUUUUUUAGUGCGUUGUUAUUUUUCCCUUCUUUUUCCUCCUUUUCUAUAUUAUUAUUUCUUCUUUUUCUUCUUUUUUUCUUCAUUUUUUUCUCUGUUGUUCAUUAUUAUUAUUAUUAUUAUUAUUAUUAUUAUUAUUAUUAUUAUUAUUAUUAUUCUCUCUCUCUCUCUCUCUCUCUCUCUCUCUCUCUCUCUCUCUCUCUCUCUCUCUCUCUCUCUCUCUCUCUCUCUCUCUCUCUCUCUCUCUCUCUCUCUCUCUCUCUCUCUCUCUCUCUCUCACUAACAUUUUUCCCCAAAGUAUUCCGACUCACCCCUUUUCAUUUUUGUCACUUUUUUUUCUUCCUUUCCGUGUAUGAUAUGUAAAAAAAUAAAUCCUUGUGUUUGUUUAGUUUUUAUGGUGUGUUUUGCGUACCAGGAAACAAACAAGGGUCAGGAGAAAGGGUUUUAAUGAGAGAAUACGUUGUGGCCGAGCUGAAUAAAUAUUUUAGGUUGUGAAUUGGAAAAUGUGAUGAAAUGAGUGUUUGGAUUUUACUUAUUUCAAUGAAAAAAGGAGAAAAGUAAAAAAAGACAAUAAAUGUAUAGGCACUCGAAAUUAAACUGUAGCAGAAGUAAAGAACAUGAGCAAGAGAAAAGGAAGAAGGGAAAUUAAUAAAAUAUUGUAUGUAUCACAAGAAAGAAUUAAAGAAAGCUGAAAAAGAGAAAUAUUGCUCAACUAGAAAUGGAAGUAAGGGAAGAGAAAGUAUACAAUAAGAAGAGGAGGAAGAAAAGAAGAAAAUAAAAGAUGAACCCUAAAGUCAACAGUAAUUGAAAAAGUGAACAGCAAGAAAAAAAAAAGAAGGGAAGAAGGAAAUAUGUGUUAGAAAAUAAAGGGAGAGAAGAAAACUAAUAUAAAUAAAUAAAAGGAAAUGAAAAAUUGCUGAACUAGAAAUCUGGAUCUGGAUAUUAAUGCACAGGGGUCCUUUCAGGUGCAUAACACGCAUGGAUGUAAAGGAAGAGAAGGAAGCUGUUAAACCUGUACUAGAAAUAAAGUAGAAAACCAAGAACUUGUAAAACUAAAAAAUGGACAAAAAAAAAAAAAGUGAGAAAGGAAUGUGGUCAACCUGUGCCGGAAAUGUACGUAUAUAU